rnacentral:rRNA from 1 species
GAUGAACGCUAGCGGCAGGCCUAAUACAUGCAAGUCGGACGGGAUUCAGGAGCUUGCUUCUGAUGAGAGUGGCGCACGGGUGCGUAACACGUAUGUAACCUACCUUUAUCAGGGGGAUAGCCUCUCGAAAGAGAGAUUAAGCCCGCAUAAAAUCACAGCACAGCAUUGUGUAAUGAUCAAAUAUUUAUAGGAUAAAGAUGGGCAUGCGGAACAUUAGCUAGAUGGCGGGGUAACGGCCCACCAUGGCGACGAUGUUUAGGGGAUCUGAGAGGAUGGCCCCCCACACUGGUACUGAGACACGGACCAGACUCCUACGGGAGGCAGCAGUAAGGAAUAUUGGUCAAUGGGCGGAAGCCUGAACCAGCCAUGCCGCGUGCAGGAAGACGGCCCUACGGGUUGUAAACUGCUUUUAUACGGGAAUAAACCCAGAUACGUGUAUCUGGCUGAAUGUACUGUAAGAAUAAGGAUCGGCUAACUCCGU